rnacentral:rRNA from 1 species
UACGGAGGGUGCAAGCGUUAAUCGGAAUUACUGGGCGUAAAGCGUGCGCAGGCGGUUUGUUAAGUCUGCUGUGAAAUCCCCGAGCUCAACUUGGGAAUUGCAGUGGAUACUGGCAAGCUGGAGUACGGUAGAGGAAGGUGGAAUUCCCGGUGUAGCAGUGAAAUGCGUAGAUAUCGGAAGGAACAUCAGUGGCGAAGGCGACUUUCUGGACAGCUACUGACACUGAGGCACGAAAGCAUGGGGAGCAAACAGG